UCAGCUACGUCACGUUGAAUAUGUUCCUGGGUCUUGUACUCACCGCCCGUCAACUCAUGAAAGGCAGGGGCGCCCGAAGCACCUUUAUUCUUCGGAAGAGGUACCACGGUGAAACUGCUGAUUGGGAGUAAGUCGUAACAAGGUAUCCGUAGGAGAACCUGCGGAUGGAACACUUCCU
rnacentral:rRNA from 1 species